AUGGCAGAAACCCGCUACGAUGCAGAAGAAGAGGUGAACGACCACCCGAUCGAGGAGGUCCGGAACACGGUGCCGAUCACCGACGACCCGUCGGAGCCGUCCCUGACGAUCCGAACAUGGGUGCUGGGGAUGCCGUCCUGCAUGCUUCUGGCCUUCGUCAACGAGUUCUUCAUGUACCGGUCCAACCAGCUGAGCAUCGGCACCGUGGUGGUGCAGAUCGCCACCCUGCCCAUCGGCCGGUUCAUGGCGUCGGCGCUUCCGGCGAAGCUCAUACGCGUCCCGCUCGUCGGCUGGUCCUUCGCCCUCAACCCGGGCCCUUUCAGUCUCAAGGAGCACUGCCUCAUCACCAUCUUCGCCGGCGCGGGCGCCAGCGGCGUCUAUGCCAUGAAUAUCAUCGCCAUCGUCAAGGUCUUCUAUAAGCGGGAGAUCAACCCCUACGCGGCCAUGCUGCUCGCGCAAACAACCCAGUUGCUUGGGUACGGAUGGGCUGGCUUGUUUAGGACGUACCUGGUGGAUUCAGCCUACAUGUGGUGGCCUCUAAACCUUGUCCAGGUCACCCUGUUCAGGGCGAUGCACGAGGAGGAGAAGAGGACCAAGGGGCAGCUGACACGGCUGCAAUUCUUCAUCAUCGUGUUGGUCUGCAGCUUCGCCUACUACCUGAUCCCCAGCUACCUGUUCCCGGCGGCCAGCACCCUCUCGGCGCUCUGCUGGUUCUUCAAGGACUCUGUGACGGCGCAGCAGAUCGGCUCCGGCCUCAAGGGCCUCGGCGUCGGCUCCUUCGGCCUCGACUGGAACACCAUCGCAGGGUUUAUCGGCAACCCGCUCGCCUCCCCGGCGUUCGCCAUCUUCAACAUCAUGGCCGGCUUCUCCCUCGGCAACUAUUUAGCGGUGCCGCUCCUCUACUGGACUAACACGUACAAUGCCAAGCGGUUCCCCAUCGUUUCGUCGCACGUCUUCGACGCUGCCGGCGGCCGCUAUGACACCAACCGCAUCCUCGACCCCAAGACCUUCACGCUCAACCUCCAUGAGUACAACGCCUACAGCCGCAUUAACCUCAGCGUGCUCUUCGCCAUCAACUACGGAUUCGGCUUUGCUGGCCUCAUGUCCACGCUCUCACAUGUUGCCCUCUACCAUGGCAAGGAGAUUUUUGAUCUAUGGCGGAAGACAGCGUCAGAGAAGGGCAAGGAGCAUGAUGUGCACACUAGGAUCAUGAAGAGGAACUACAGGUCUGUUCCGCAGUGGUGGUUCCACCUAAUGUUGGUCCUCGUGCUGGCUCUGUCGUUGUUCACAUGCGAGGGUUUUGGAGGACAGUUGCAACUACCAUAUUGGGGACUCCUCCUCGCUUGUGCCAUCGCCUUAACCUUCACGCUGCCCAUAGGCAUCAUCAGUGCAACGACAAAUAUACAACCUGGAUUAAAUAUCAUCACCGAGCUCAUCAUCGGGUACCUCUACCUUGGGAAGCCAUUGGCCAAUGUAGUAUUCAAGACGUACGGCUACAUAAGCAUGGGGCAGGCACUAACAUUUGUGAAGGAUUUCAAGCUUGGGCAUUACAUGAAGAUACCACCAAGGUCCAUGUUCUUAGUGCAAUUAGCUGGGACCGUCACGGCGUCAACGGUGCACUUCGCGACUGCGUGGUGCCUGCUAACAACGGUGAAGAACGUAUGUGAUGUGGAUGCCCUACCGGAGGGUAGCCCCUGGACGUGUCCAGGAGACGACGUCUUUUACAAUGCAUCCAUCAUCUGGGGUGUCGUUGGACCUUUGCGUAUGUUUGGACGCCUCGGCAACUACUGGCAGAUGAACUACUUCUUCCUCAUCGAGAUCAUUGCACCAGUGCCCAUUUGGCUGCUCUGUCGUCGGUACCCGCACAACACUUUCCUCAAAAGCAUCAAUAUUCCACUCAUCUGCGCCAGCGCCGGUGGACUCCUCCCGGCACGAUCUGUCAACUUUAUCAUGUGGGGACUCGUAGGCAUCAUAUUCAACCACUUUAUAUACAAACGAUACAAGGCGUGGUGGAUGAGGCACACCUACGUGCUCGCUGCAGGGCUUGAUGCCGGUGUCGCGUUCAUGGGAGUGCUCACAUUCAUAUCGCUAGGAUACUUUGACAUCUAUGGGGUGAGGUGGUGGGGUGGUGUUGCCGAUGACCACUGUCCUUUGGCGUCAUGCCCAACGGCACCAGGAGUGAUAGCCAAGGGAUGCCCAGUUGUCAAGUGA
rnacentral:rRNA from 1 species